rnacentral:sRNA from 1 species
UAUUGGAACGGUACUUACGUAGAUUGAAA